CAGCUGCAAACAAAACGACUCAAUGUUAGGAGAGACUGCGUGUCGGAUUUCCGAUAACUGCGUGCAGUUUAAACGGCAGGCCGAGAUUUUGAUCAGAAAACGCACGGAUUUUGCUCCGUGCGUCACCAGGAGCGCUUCAUUCUCCCUUAAACGGCUGAAGCCGCGCAAUUUGGAGUGAGUUGCGCACAAUGCGCAACCAAGACGCACAUCGCAAUACUUUGGGGGAUAAAAUGGCUGCAUGGGUAUAGGUUUUAUUUAGAGACACUCUUCGGAUUGUGUUGCUUUCAGUCAGCUGUUAACUAACCCAGCGCUGCUGCAUGACACAGGUUUACAGAUUUGUUUUUUGUUUUUAAGUUGGGAACUAGCAAAAGAAACAUGGCUCGUUCUUGCAGUAAGUUCUUGUGGAUCGUUAAAACCAAAUCAUCGUUUAAUUUAAAAAGAAAAAAAAUGUUUUGUUUUAUAACAGAUGACAUUUUAAACGACCAAAACCAAAAUAUUAAAGAAAGAACAGGUAAGGCCCGCGUUUCCCAUCGCAUAAAAUCACCGAGAUGAUCAGAAAAUCAGAAUAAAACGAAUGCAUUAAAAUGAUACUUCACAGGCAGCAAAUAUUGAUAAAACGAGGUGACAGUGUCCACAUAAAUAACCGUUCCCCAUUCAUGUGUUGACUCAGUAAUCGACAUUUCAAUUAAGAUAUGCUUUGAACACCACCCUUACUACAAUGUCAUCACGAGACAGAGAGGCAGCGAGAGAGGGAGAGAGAGAGAGAGAGAGAGGCUGAACAACUAAUAAAUUCGUUUUGUCUCCCGUCUGGGAAUGAUUUAUCUGAUCGCACGAUAUCAGCGGCUGAAAAGUGGAGUGGUUUAAGCAUCUUCCCCCCAACCUCUGUCUCUGAAGAAACAGACACGAAGGGUGCAGCUGGAGAAGAAAAGAAGGGAUCUUACCGGCUCACGGGGCGCACAGGUUGUCGAGUCCAGACAAAGUACAACUUAAAUGUUACAACUGCCACCCGAAGGCGCGACAAGAAACAGUCCAGUGGUGGCGAUGGCGGAAUAUCAACAGAGCGCACUGAUAAAAUCCCAUCCGGCGGCGCGCAAGUGACCCUUUCUCACUCAAGAAUAUUUUUAUUCGUUAUUUAUAUCUGAGGAUCCGGCUGCCCAUUGGUCUCUUCACGCAGGCAUGAGUCACAGCCUUGCCUCCCACCCUGACGGCUAAUGAAGCUUCCCUGAGUGCUACUGACAGCUACAAUCCACUUUAAGGAACCAAACAAGCAAAAGGAAAAAUACCGAUGACGUUUACCCGCCCCUGUGUGCGUAUAUGUGUGUGUGGGCGAGCUCUUGUGUCUCCAGGUGUGGGUGGGUGUCACAGGGAUGAGGGUGGAGACUUGAAUGUAAAUUUGGUUACAUAGAAAUUGACCUUGGAAUGAAACUGCACAGCUGGGCUUUUAAAUACCAACAGAUACAUAUUCAGGACAUCCGGUCCAUCUCCUCAUAUCUGUUGAUUGAUUGGGUUUUGGGGACCUGUGGAAGCUGUUAGGUCAUUUAUUCCAGAAUGGACACAUGUAUUAUAAAGCGAGCAGGACAAGCCAUCCAGGAGCCAUCCAUCCAUGCAAGCACUGUCUGUAAUAUUCACCUUCAUGAGAUGAAAACAUUACCUACAUCAUAAUUUCUGACCUACUCACUGCUUUAACCUCGCCACGGACAAUAACGCCGAGACUUCAAAGCAUGGCGGGCGCUGGCUUAGUGUCUUUUCUGUCAUCCUCACGCCUGCCUCUGGAUCCAGUGCACAGGCAGGGACCGGCCAUUAUGUUCAUUCAGCCGCUGCAAUUUAUUCAGCCUUUAUCAGGAGCCAAUCAUAUCUUUCUACACUCACAAGUGACAUGUGGAGAUGCAUAAAGAUAAACUCAGACUGAUGGCAUUCAACAAGGAGGCUUAGCUGCUGGGAUUUACAUCUGCACUAAAACAGGGCACAUAAAAGGUCUUCACUGCUUAUGAGUUUACAUAGGCUAACAUUUUAUUUGUGCUAAUUUAAUUGCCACCAUAACAAAAGACUGGAGAGUGGACCAGAUGGACUCCAGAAUCAGUUCUUUUGUUUGGGUCACGUUACAGCUCUCAUCCACAGUGAAAACUGAAAAACAAAACAACAUCGCUUAUCAUCUUCACAGAGAGAGAGCUGAUGUUUAAAGAAUCCUGAAAUCAAAGCCAUGGGAGGAUUCAGCAAACAUGGUGGCAGACGUGCAAACUUCCAGGGGAAAGUGUUUUUUUGUUGAAUUUCAUGCAGUCUGAAUGAUGAUACAUAAACAUGUUUUUGUAUGUCCCGGUGACAGUUUAGAUAAUGUUUUAACAUAACUGCUAGAGUCAGCAUCAAAGGGUUGGCCAAGUUGGCUGCAGAGUGUCCAGAUUGCUGCUAGGAGACCAAUAGUUGGAGACUGCUGAUGACACUUUAAGUGGUGAUCAAACAUAACCGCUUAGAAGAUUUUUGACUUUUAAAUAUCUGUUAUUAUAACAAGAAUGAGGAACACGAAUGCAGCAUUUACAUAUCAUCAGAUCUAUAGGCCAAAACUCCUCAGCUGCUUCUUUGUGUUGAGCAGUUAGCUGCUAACUGUAUGUGCUGUGUGUUCCUAGUGUUCAGUUUUAGCAUGUCUGGUCAUAAAACUGCAGGGUUGUAUUUUCCAAUGCAUUUUUAGCAUCAGUUCAAACACGUUAAGGUAUUUUACAUUUAAUCACAUAAUGAUUCUCAAAAUGGAUAUGACUCUGAUCGAGUGGAUUCAUUUACAGUCUCUUCUGCAGGUCAACGUGCAAAUGUUUAUCGGAUUUAUCAGGAAGCGUGUGUGGUGGUUUGUCCGUAUAUUUUCACGGCUGAUCUAUCAGCGAUUUAUCAGGUCACAUUUUCAGGAAAUGAGGGCAUCCGCUCAGUCCACAUGAGCUCCUUUAAUUCCAGGUGAAAAUAUGAGAGAAUAUGUAACUGUCACUGUGUCUACACUGAAAAGACUGCAACUGUGGGCAGCAGCAGUGUGCCUUAAAAUAAACACAAUAUAUGUAACAUAGUCCCUGCUAGACAGGUCGUACAGCUUUAAGGGUAAAUGUGAACAGGAGGGCAUGGCUUGUGUUUGUAAACAUGGUUUUCCUUUUCAUAAUCAUCACCAUGA